rnacentral:rRNA from 1 species
GAGUUUGAUCCUGGCUCAGAUUGAACGCUGGCGGCAUGCCUUACACAUGCAAGUCGAACGGCAGCACGGGAGCUUGCUCCUGGUGGGCGAGUGGCGAACGGGUGAGUAAUGCAUCGGGAACGUAUCCUGGAGUGGGGGAUAACGUAGCGAAAGUUACGCUAAUACCGCAUAUUCUGUGAGCAGGAAAGCGGGGGACCUUCGGGCCUCGCGCUCUUGGAGCGGCCGAUGUCGGAUUAGCUAGUUGGUGAGGUUAAAGGCUCACCAAGGCGACGAUCUGUAGCAGGUCUGAGAGGAUGAUCUGCCA